UUCUGGCUGGUGGAUAUGGAGAGCUCAUCCUGCAGCUGCCCAAGGCAAGCUUCUUAAAGGAUGUGCCUGACACACAGACGAUGCCUGUGGCCUCUUCUGCGAUUGGAGACAAGGAGCGUGCGUUCACAGUGAUAGCCAGAGCUUCCUUUUGCUUGCUGUGGUUUAUCUCCAUGAAUUAGAAAACUAGGAAGAAAAGAGUAAUGGAUUACAGAAAAACAUCCCUAGAUGAUGCUCCCUUUUAACCAGUACAAA